CAGCCAGCUCAGCCACAAGUAAAGACAACGACGAAGGCGACGACAGUCAGCAAACCACCAGCGAGGCAAGUAGUGGCGGAUACUCCGUCUGCAAACGUUCAAUCGAACGAAGCGGACGGAACGUAAUCAAAACGAAUGAGUGAGUGGGCACACGAAGCCAAAGCAGAGAGACACAACGUGACAGUAGUAGUGUUAGCAGAACUUAUAAUGCUGACGGUGGUGAUGAUGGCUACAGCAACAAUUUUCGUACUCAUUGCGAAUGUACUCUCAUAUGUUAAAAUUUAAAGUGCGAGUAAGAGCACCAUAAAAUAGCCAUAGGAAACAAAAGCAGAGGAAAGAGUAAAAAUAUACGCAGAGUAAUUCUAAGGGCACUUGAUGAACUGAACAAUAAAUAUCAAGAAAUGGUAGGCAGGCAACAGAAACCACAGCGUUCCAUGGUCGUCACUUACUUAGAGCGAGUGCAACAACCUGAUAUUACUUUUCUCAAACGACAAAGAGCGAGUGAAAAAAAAGUAUACCAUGUACUAAUUUAACUACAAGAAGUAUUGUUAUUGGAAAGAUAUACACUAAACAAAAAACUCCUACUACUUCUCAGCCUUCUUUGCUUUUAGUGGCGGUAGGACGCUUGAGAGCAUUCACCAUUUCAUGUCGAAUAAAGAGAAACCGCACAACAGUCGCAAAUAUAAUCGAGCAAUGGAAGAAGAGUAUUUAGGCUUCGCGUUCAUUCACCAUUUUCACCGCCUCGUUAGACUGCGAUGGCAGACAUUUGUGCGACAGUGCCAAACUAAUAACAAAUUCGCUUACGAGUUUUUGCUUGUUGAAAUUCCAAUGGAACGCCCACCAGAAACUACUGACAACGUUUCCAAUUAUCCAGUAUGCUUUUCAGUGCCUUUUACAAGUGAGUGAGAGCACAUCAUCGUUCCUCUUUUGACAGCUUUUUGUCGAUGAGCCGGCUACCGGGAUUUCACAUAGAUGUGUCGUUUGGUUACGCAUUCACCCGCCAAAAGCAACUUCCAUGUUGCUACUGUCACUACACUGCACAAUUCCAGAAAUUCCAUCGCCGAAACCAAAUGCAAAAAACAUUUCCGGCAUGAAAUAAUUCGAGUACUUACAUCUAGCUGGAUGGUGUUGCAACAGUCAGUCCUUUUGUUCGCUCCGUACGCUCGGUCUCUGGCAGCUUCUUUCCUCGAUGCAGAUUCAUUUCCAAACAUGUUGCUUCUAAUGGUGCAUACGUGCAUAUAUACAGUCGUUUCACUUUUCUCCAAAAGUGCGUCAGUUUUAAAACACUCCCACUGCCAGUAGCGACAGAUUCAGUGGGCAAAAAAAGGAGCCAACCGUCUAAAUUUGAAUGCAAAUAACAACUUAAAACGGGAGCACACAAGGGAGGUACAAAGGCGAGCAAAAGGUGCAUAUUAAUUUUUUUCAGACUAUGCCCGCCAACCAAAGGACCUCAGCCAAAACGGGCGCUAAACGCAUCUAAAUUUGGCAGCUUGGCACUCGGUAAGAGGUUUUACGAAGAAUUAUUUAUUCAAAGUACGACGGAGAGAAAUCCUGUUUUCAUUGCCACUACUGCUGGUAUGUGAUUUUAUGCUAAAUGCGCACGCGUCGCACUCUAAAAAAUAUGAUAAUAACGCAAAUAAACGAACAUGAAAGCGCACAAAAGCAGAUAUAUACAUACAUAAGGAGAGGACUUGUUGCAUAAUUAUGCGCGCCACUUCAAAAGUAGCGAAACGCUGCGGCUACUAAAAAAUUUAUGAAUGAAAAACUCAGAGAAGAUCGCAGUAUAUUGACGCUGCACUCCUGCCCCUUUGGUGCAAUCGCAUAGUCUGCGGUUAGUAGUGUUGUGGCUAUAGCAGCAGUAUUAGUAGUAGUGGCGGCGAUGAUGAGAUGCUGAUAUGUUGAUGGCGAUGAUAAUGAGCCAGAUUAGGAUUUCGCAACUUUAUUGUGAACCGCAUUAACCGCACCAAGUGAGCAGGGACACCAUCACACCGGCUCUCACCGUGUGGCGUAGUCGCACUGGAAUUGAGCAUAUCGCUGAAGAGAGUCCACCACAUCGUCGGUUGACUACACUUGACGUCUGUGACUUGGAUGUAGUGCAGCCUCUUCAUAAAUUUCUUCUUGCAUUUUUAUUAUUUUGUACAUGUUUGUAUUUAUAAGCAUUAAAUACAAUUUAAAUGAAGUAUA